AUCGUUGUAGUAUAGUGGUGAGUAUUCCUGCCUGUCACGCAAGUGACCCGUGUUCGAUCCCCGGCAACGGCG
rnacentral:tRNA from 1 species